UACAUCAUAAGCUUGGCAGACGCCAUAGCCCUGAAACAGCAGUUUGAAACUUGCACCAUAACAAAUCUUCUCCUAUACAUUAUCUCACAGGAAACAACACAUGAUAAAUUCUUAGCACAAUGUGAUUCCCCUCCUUCCACCUCCUCCCCACUUCAGAAAGAUUUAACAUCUAAUUCAGCUUUUGACGAGCUGCUUCAUCACUGCGGGAAUGCUGUUGAUCUCUGUCGGAACCCUGCGGCCUUGGACAGAACAAACUGAAAAGGGGGAAAAAACUUUUGGCCGCCUGUAAUGAUAAAUAAAUACAUUACAGGAUACAACUCUGGGGAAUGGAGGCUGACACUGACUGAGCACCGUGACCUCCACACUAUUGCCAAGUCUCAGCCGCUUAACAAAAGUCAACUUUUGUUUGCCUUCCUCCCCUGCCCCGUUUUCUUAAAGCGCAAACGCAGGAUGGAAAAGGAAAAAAAAAAGAUAAAUUAAACCAAUAAAAGCUCAAGGAGAAGUCCCCAACCCUCCCCAUCUGCUGCCCAGAGGCACUUGGGUUCUGACAGAACAGUGCUUUAGUCCUUUGGUCUCCUGGAAACUGGGAGAAACCAGUCCACGCUGCAGCAGCAGCAGCAGAACAGGGAAGCUGUGCUGCAGGGAAUGCUCAAAUCCCUUUAAAAAACGAUUUUGCAUCAAGAUGUGCCUGCCUUCAGGCUAGUCAUUGGCUCCCAUUUGGUUUUCUUUCUACUUAAGACCCUCUCACAAAAUCAAACAUGUAUGGCAGCUGUUGGGUCUUCACAGUGAGAGGGAGCGAUCGAUUACUGCAUCAGGUUUAGAGGAUUUGGAUGGUUGCCCUUUGGUUAAAGGCAGGAUCUUUCUAACAUGUCUUCUUACAUUUAAAUACUCUCCUGAAGAUUUUCCACUGCUUCAACUCUGCCUUCUGAGAGUAACUGGAGAAAAGCAUUCUUCAGCUCAGUCAAUUUCUUACGCAUGUUCUGCUGGGGAGCACUUAUUUCAUGUUAACUAUAUCUGUGAUCGUCCUGGAGUUGUUUCCUGCAAGAGUGAGCUGUGCACGUUACAGCCUCUAUUAGCAAAGGGCUGCUCGAUGCACCACAGGGGCAGUCACAGAUGGAUUUCCGCAGCGGUGCCCAAGGCCCAAGCAUUCCCCAAACCACCACUGAGCUCAUGCCUUGACCUGCCCAUCAGAACAAGACUGACACUUCCCAGGAGAAACUGGGUAAGAAGAAGGGAAAAAAAAAAAAAAAAAAAGGAAAUAAAAUCCAUUACGAUGGAUUUCAUGCUCCAAAUCAAUCCAUUUUCAAAGCUGCAAUUCCCAAGCCUUUCACCUAAGUCAAAUACAGCAAAAACCAAAAGAGCAGGACAAACCAAAAAGCAAACCAUAUGAAGAGGAGCUCUACAUGUGAACCAGGGACAACAGAAACAAUGGCCCUUCAAGUUCAGUCAAAAGCUUUGAAUGGGAAUUCCUCCCUUUGGAAGCCGAUGAGGCCUUCACUGCACUGCGCAUCUCACCCAUUGCAAGCCACAGCAGAGUGGAACUGCUGCUGUCUGUGCCUCUACCUGGGGGGAAAUGCAAAGUUUCUACUGAAGUCAAAGGGGGGCUGGGGAGAGGAAUCCGACCUGGAUGCCUGGGUGGACACUAUCUGGCAGAGCAGCCCAGGUUGCUGGUGUGCCUCCUCCCCUGCCACGGCACAUCUCCUGCGUGUGCACACUCUGCACGUGUGUUUAAACAAAGCAGCUGAUAAGGAGCCCUUGUCUGUCAGCAGGAUCUGAGCCUGCGGCUCUUUGAGCGCGUUGGGGUUUACUUGGCGGGUCACGCUGGCUCCUGGGGAACCGUUUAUCACCGCACAAAACUCCAGAGGAUGGCGCAGUGCCAGGGUCUUGUCUUCUCUUCCCUUCCCCCCAUCGCUGCUCCCCUCCUGGGUAUUGAUGCUAUAUCAAAACAAGCCUCCAGUUCACAUAGCAACAGAACGCUUUUAUAACACCCCUGCAUGGGAACGCUCCAUAACCCACUGGACACUCACUUGGAGCCCAUUAGGUUCAGUGAAGCUAAGCUGUGCAGGAUUGUUACGAAGCAUUAACAGGCUGCAGUGACUCCAUAUAAUCCAGCACUGCCUGUUGAGUUAUCACACCCCGUUGUCACCUCAUUAGUUGGCAGGCUAGGAGAACACAGGUGCCUCUGGUGCUC